rnacentral:lncRNA from 1 species
AACAAUUUACAAAAGUUAACCAUUAUAGGUCAAUGUACGACCUUCAACACGGAGCCUUGGCUCACACCGAACAAAAAGCUAUAAAGGGCCCAAAAAUUACAAGUGUAAAACCAUUCAAACGGGAAAACUAACGGUCUAAUCUAUAUAAAAAAACGAGAAACGAGAAACACGCAUAAAUUACAUAAACAAACGACAACUACUGUACAUCAGAUUCCUGACUUAGGACAGGUGCAAACAUUUGCAGCGGGAUUAAACGUUUGAAUGGUACCAAACCUUCUCCCUUUUUCUGAAACAAUAGCAUAACAUCAC